rnacentral:rRNA from 1 species
GAUGAACGCUGGCGGCGUGCCUAAUACAUGCAAGUCGAACGCGAGAGGAGGGAGCUUGCUCCCUCCGAUCGAGUGGCGGACGGGUGAGUAACACGUAGGCAACCUGCCCAUCAGCCGGGGAUAACUGCGGGAACCGUGGCUAAUACCGGAUAAUCCCCCCCGCCGCGGGGUGGGGCGUUGAAAGACGGUUUCGGCUGUCGCUGAUGGACGGGCCUGCGGCGCAUUAGCUGGUUGGCGGGGUAACGGCCCACCAAGGCAACGAUGCGUAGCCGACCUGAGAGGGGGAUCGGCCACACUGGGACUGAGACACGGCCCAGACUCCUACGGGAGGCAGCAGUAGGGAAUCUUCCGCAAUGGACGCAAGUCUGACGGAGCAACGCCGCGUGAGUGAAGAAGGGUUUCGGCUCGUAAAACUCUGUUGUUAAGGAAGAACGCCAGGUAGAGUAACUGCUACCUGUGUGACGGUACUUAACCAGAAAGCCACGGCUAACUACGUGCCAGCAGCCGCCGUAA